CCUCAUACAGGAAGCACUGCACAAUGACAACCAGCGUGAGGAUGACCGCGUGCAGGCUGAAGAAGACAUCGUUGCUGUCCACGGGGAUCACCCCAUUGGGGUGUUGGAGGAGAAACUGCUCCUGUUUGGAAGGCUGUGGAAGCCCUAACCAUGGUGGACCAUGGUGGGCACAUUCAGACAUUCAACAAAUACUUAUUUGCUGUUGGCCAAGGAAGAGAAUGCUCUUGGAAGAGGACCAGUCUGCAUUUGGAAGAUACCCAUGGACGGUGUCGAGAAGCAUCUGAUUCACCAAACAUCACACUCCAAUGGCCUGUGAAUGAGGUCACAUGGAAGAGAAAUGACGGGGGAUGGAAGCCUCGUCAGUCCAUGGAGGGAGCACAAAGCUCAGACCCGGGGGCAGGCUGAGCCCAAGUUCCAGGAGCUCCAGGAGGCGGCUAGCCACCUUGCCCACUUGCCAGCUCUCUGUGGGACAGUUUUUAGACAGCACCAAAGCCCUUCAACUUCACCGCCGGUCUUCCUAGUGCCAUUAUCUCGGCCUUGGAUCCAAACGCAGACUCCCUGUUGGCAUUUGAGAAUGAUGAUCACUUCCCAGUAGACCACAUCAUUAAAAAGCAGAAAACCGCACUGGUCUUUAGAAAAGCUGGUGCUUUUGGCAGAAGCCAAUCUGUCUCCAGCAGCAGUAAGGGCGUGGCUGGAACUUGUGGCUGCCUGACCCAGGUGAGCUCCCUAGGGAAUUCCCCAGCUUCCCCCUUUCCCUUCCUGACGUUUCAGGCAGCACAGAAAUGGCUGUUGGUAAAGUGUCUGCAUGACCUGGCUUAUGUGUGUGCUGGGAACAGACACCAGGCUGGGGGCCUCUGGUCACUGGGAGAGGUCGACUAAAAAGGGGUGGGUACCUGCACACCUAGUGGGAGGGUAGACUGGGCAUCGCUCUGAGGGUCACCAGUGCCCUCAGGGCUGACUGUGGACAACAGUCCCCCCAAAAUGACUGAACUCCACAAGGCAGAUGACAAGACAGGGGUGUAUGUGUCAUCCAAGACCUGGCCCAACGCAGAGCCUCCCACACAGCGAGGAGGAGACCCCGGGGCACAGGUGAGGCACUCCAUGCCACCUGAUGGGUCCAUCUGACUUUCCCUUUGGUGUGUGGCACUCUGCCCCCCUGGGUUGUGUGCAAGGCCACAGGAAGAACCCUCCCUUUGGGGAGAUGCAUUUGAUGGAGAAGAAAUGCCUAAGAAUUGGUACCUGGCACAGUGGGGUUACUGACCAUCC